rnacentral:snoRNA from 1 species
AAGACUAUCUUUCAGGAUCAUUUCUAUAGUAUGGACUAGAAAUUGUGGCUGAAAGUGGCACGGAGGUAACCACAGGAGGAGCUGAGGUUCUCUUCUAGCGUGAAGCCGGCUUUGGCUGUUCUGUAGCUGUCACGUGCCAUUGAUGAUCGUUCUUCCCUUCUUUUGGGUUGGGGAGGAAGGGAACGGGUAAGGGU